rnacentral:lncRNA from 1 species
UUUACUAUUACACAAUAUUUGUUUUUCCCUCACUUGUUAUGCAAAAAGAUCUUUUUUUGCAAUUCUGACUAUUUUGUUUCUUUGUCGAUGUCGUGAUGUCCUAAUGCAAUAGCUUGAGAAACCUAUUACUUUAGUUUUAUAUGUUGCGAUUUUGUAAAACACCCUCAAUAUUCAGUUUACCCACCGAGAAUCACAGUUAUGUUGUUGUUGCUUAUUCUUUAGUUUUCUAUGUUGUGUCAUGUCAACUAUUGUUUGUCUGUUUGGCUUUGUCAGUUUUAGCCAUGGCGUUGUCAGUUUUGUUUUAGAUUUCAUGAGUUUGAGUGUCCUUCUUGUAUCUUUCGUCCCUCUUUUGGCUUUUUAACUUUUUUGAUCUGAGCGUCACUGAUGAGUCUUAUGUAGACGAAACGCGCGUCUGGGUAUAAAAUUAUAAUCCUGGUACUUUUGAUAACUGUUAUUAUAGUUGAAUGUCUUAAUAAUCAAUAUUCAGCAGAAGUUUUACCGUGUUUUUAACCCAGUCAAAACGACCAAAGUGAUCAAUACCAAUAAAAUUUAGUAUUCAUUAUGAUAUCCACUAUUAAUUUAAGUGAAAAAAAAUGUUAUAUGGCAACAACUAUACUUUACAAAUCAUUGAUCCAAUGAAAGACACAUUUGACAUUUUACAUUCGGUCAGGGUAAAAAAAAAAUUAUAUGACCAAUGGUCCAGAAUAUGGUUAAUGUCUUAGAGAUAUAUAAGAGUAAAUUACCAAUGAAAUCACCAUAGAUGCCAGGAUUGAAAUUUAAUAUUUACGCCAGAAGCGCGUUUCAUCUACAAAAGACUCAUCAAUGACGCUCGAAUCAAUCCGCAGUUGCGGAUGUCACUUUAUAUUGGUUAUUAGCGUAUGUUAUAGGGGUAACAUGACGGGUGUCCCAUGUAGAGCAUGAUAAGCGUACCAUGCCUGAACACUUGAGAUCACCCCAAGUGUGGUGAAACUCAUAUUGCUCGGUCCUUAGUUUUCUGUGUUGCGGUUUUGUAAAACACCCUCAAUAUUCAGUCUAUUCACCCAUAUUCACAGUUCUGUGAUCAAUUGAUUAAAAGUAAAAGUUUAUCUAUUAUUCGUCUUCCAUCAUAGGUCAAAACAAGUUGUGUUGGUAUUUUUUAUCUAUGUAAAUGAUUCUAUUUCCCUGCAGAUUCAAUUUCAUUUUGAUCCAUUAAUAAAGUUUAAGUAUUUCACAUAACCUAAAACUAUUAAAUAUGGUUUGCUUUCCAAACAUUACUAUUUAGC